rnacentral:rRNA from 1 species
CCUACGGGAGGCAGCAGUAAGGAAUAUUGGACAAUGCUCGCAAGAGUGAUCCAGCCAUGCCGCGUGCAGGAAGAAUGCCCUAUGGGUAGUAAACUGCUUUUGAACUAGAGAAAACCCCAGUACGUGUACUGGGCUGAUAGUAUAGUUAGAAUAAGCAUCGGCUAACUUCGUGCCAGCAGCCGCGGUAAGACGAAGGAUGCAAGCGUUAUCCGGAUUCAUUGGGUUUAAAGGGAGCGUAGGUGGACUGAUAAGUCAGUGGUGAAAUCUCCGAGCUUAACUCGGAAAUUGCCAUUGAUACUGUUGGUCUUGAGUACAGUUGCUGUGGGCGGAAUAUGACAUGUAGUGGUGAAAUACAUAGAGAUGUCAUAGAACACCGAUUGCGAAGGCAGCUCACAAAGCUGUAACUGACACUGAGGCUCGAAAGUGCGGGGAUCAAACAGGAUUAGAUACCCUGGUAGUCCGCACCGUAAACGAUGAUUACUCGCUGCUAGGGGGCAACCUUUAGUGGCUUAGCGAAAGCGAUAAGUAAUCCACCUGGGGAGUACGCCGGCAACGGUGAAACGUUACAAGGAAUUGACGGCGNGAGAGNGCGAGGACGACACGAGGGAGGAGG